rnacentral:rRNA from 1 species
UACGUAGGGGGCAAGCGUUGUCCGGAAUUAUUGGGCGUAAAGAGCGUGUAGGCGGUCCGGUAAGUCGGCUGUGAAAGUCCAGGGCUCAACCCUGGGAUGCCGGUCGAUACUGCCGGACUAGAGUUCGGAAGGGGCGAGUGGAAUUCCCGGUGUAGCGGUGAAAUGCGCAGAUAUCGGGAGGAACACCUAUGGCGAAGGCAGCUCGCUGGGACGUUACUGACGCUGAGACGCGAAAGCGUGGGGAGCAAACAGG